rnacentral:tRNA from 1 species
AAGGUUUUAAGUUAAGUAAAACUAUGAGCCUUCAAAGCUUAAUAUAAAGAUAGAUCUUUAAACCUUG